CCAGCACGGAUGCUAUGAAAGACCAAAGGAGGAAGGAAAUUUACUUAAAUUCGUAGAAUUCUGGCUCCACCAUUCGCCAGGUGAAGUGCAAGAGGUCAAGGAAUUACUGAUGUUGAUGGAUUAAUGACCAGUUAGGAGUUGUAAAAACAGAAAAAGGGAAGAACACUUCAAUGAGAUUUCUGCCCAUAAAAGCUCCCUGAAAGAGUGUAACAGAGAAAUGGAGAUGGCGACGUGACUUAUUUUUAGAAGGGAACAGAG